GUUGUGCAUGAAACCUAGAUGUAAACGCACUAUACAUAUCGUAUGUUUGUACACACAGUUCAUUCUCCUGUUUAGCUGAAGUCAUAUCAAAAUGGCAGCCAUGACAGAUUCGUCAGUCUCGAAGGAAUUAAAUGUUGUCAUAGAGUAUUGCUGUUCUACCGGAGAAGAGGGUGUGAGGAUUGCCUAUGUUCAAUUUCGUGGCAAAUCAUGUGUCAAAUUCUUCUGUGACAAAUGCUUUAAAAGCGAUCAUAUACUGUUCCCAUCUUAUGAGAGAAGCAGGAGUGGAAACGAAGUGAUAUUUAACGUAGGAGUGGUAAGAGCAAAGGAUCGUCUUAACAGAAGCAGAAGCCAUGGGCAAAAAAUCCUUUGAACGUCAUGUAAAAUGCAUGGGGAUUACGCUGCAUAAUGCAAAAGUACUAGAUGACAAUGGACCAUGGUCUAUCGUUGCGAUCUGUGGUCUUCCUGAUGGUCGUAUUCUUGUGGCAGACAAUGCAAACACUAGAGUGAAGUUGUUCGAUCAAGAUAGCAAACUGGUUAGCCACUGUAAUGUGUAUGAGUAUAUAUAUGACAUUUGCCAAAUAAAUUGCUGCGAUGUGGCGAUAACGCAAGAAGACUAUAAUACAAACAGACACGAGCUUCAGUUUAUAUCUCUACAGAAUAGUAAGCUGGUGAAAACAAGGACGCUAAGGCUGACUCACGUUUUUCACGGUGUUGCUCACAAUAGGGGCAAUCUGUAUGUGACAACACGCACUGCAUUGAUGAUUUACACACUGAGAGGGACAUUUCUGCGAAAACUGUAUGAGGACAAAGGAAAUUGUUUAAAAGUCUGGAAGUGUGCCGUGAGCCCUUCUGGAGACAGGACAUAUAUUGUAAACCCAGACCAUCACAGGCUGAUCACACUGAGCAGGGAUGGGACAGUUUUCUGCACCUUUACCGUCAAUGAACUAGAGAGUCCUAUUGCUGUACAUGCCACAACUUCUGGGCAGCUACUUGUUGUUGGUAUUAACUCUGUCCUUCAGGUCGACAGCGAAGGAAAAAGGACGCUUGUCAUACUGGCUACAGAACGUGUCGGCGCAAAACGUCCACAGUCCGUUUUUUACAACAGCGCAAAGAGCUCUAUCCUUAUAGGUCAAUAUAAUUACAGCAAAUUGCUAGAGCUAAAAGUUGACUUAAUGAAAGUACCUUGUUGAAUGCCUAAACAAAGAUAACAAUGACGAGUUAUCCUGCAACAUAUUGCUUACCUAUAUAAACAGCUAUGUUGCCAAAUGUCAUUCAAAACGUACUGAACAUAGGCGCGUAGUAUAAUGCUCAACUUAGAUUGUAUUCACCCUGAUAACUGUCGCGGUUUCAGACCGAAUCUACGUCAUGUUUUGACUCUUGCGUGUAAAAUAUUCCUGAAACAAGUAUAACCCGUUAACAAACUUGAAAUAGAUCUUAUCGAAAAAUCACUAGUACUCAAACUUUACUCUAUUAAUCGAGGAAACUGUGUCGUCCCGAAAAUUAUGAAGUGUUCUUCUUGUGCGAGCCAUAUAAAAAGAUACAUAGGUUCCAUUUGCAAAGUUUUUAUUCAAUGUUGAGCUUAUGUUAAAACAAUAUUAGUAUUUCAAAAAUUGAACUGAUUAAUUCUUUCUCGUCGCCAUGUUUUGUUGUAUGCAUGUAAUAAGUAACCUCAUUAUAUCAGUAAUAUGUCUGUUUAAUUAACACACGGUAACAGAACGUCAAACCAUUACAUGACUGAAUUGACUCAAGUUACGACUUACUCGCAGUUGAUACGGCACGGACCACCAAAUCUAGAAAUACAAAAGUUUUUCAACAGGUCCUUUAAAACUAGUUUUCAUUUAUUUUAACUAUUAAUAAUGAGCUUAUUGCAAGCUACGAAAUGUUUGAAUGUAUAACGGCUUCUUUUCGCGAAGCCUUUCGAUGAUAUGGAUGUAUAUAACAUGAUGCUGGGUUUUAAAAUCUUUUCAACAAGAAGAGCCGAUACUGUUAUUAUUUUCAUAUCAUUAUUCCUCACAGAGUUCCGGUUAGAUUGCUGAUAUGUAUAUUUAAGUAUUAAUAAAACGAGUAUUUGAAAUGUAAUUUAAAUGAACUUAUUUUUCUAAUGUAUUAUCCAAUCAGCUUGUAUUGAUAUGCUUAUAAAGUGAUGUUUAUGUAUACGUUUAUAUUUUAUGAUUAAUUUGGGACUAAUGGUCAUGUUCGUAUUGCUUUUAGACCAACUUCUUUAUGCGUGAAUUAUUUUAUGCCAAUUUUUAUCUGAAUAAAUCGUGUAUACGAAAUAUAGCAGAACUGAAACUCCAAGUAAGUCUCUCAGCCAUCAGCUAGUAUUAUAAUACGACAUGGGAAAUUAAAACAAGUAAUGAAAUAAAACGCUGGUUUAAUGAUUCAAGCUGGGAUAAAGGCAUUGGCACGGCUAAUACGAAACAUCGAGAGUUUAAACCGGUUUGAUGACUAGCCUUACAUCACGCUUAGCCCAAGAAUACAUGUGUGACUUUAUUACGCAUUUGUCUUGACAAACAUAUAAUGUGCAAUGUAUUCACGAUAUGUAUUGUACAUAUAGUGUCGUUUUGUCAUUUCACAUAUACUCGCACAUUUUCGCGUUGUAAUAAGCUGUAUUGUACAAACUGUAUACACCAUUACUGGAUUCCUUUACAGCUUUAUUAUUAAAAUAAGUUACUAAAUGUGUGCACUUGAUAUAUAUUUCGAAAGGAUUAUAUGACAUUCAAUUUUGGUGAUUUCGACAUUUAAUCACGUGUGUAAGCAAACUAAAUGUAAGCAAUGUAACGCCUUUGAAAAACGACCGGCAACAUAUUUUAAAUGUAAGUUGCUUAUCCGUUCAGGAAACAAAUAACUUCGCUUUACAUGUGUACACAAUUUGUGUCCGCGUCUUUUCUUUCCUUAUUGCAUUCAAUACAAAAGACAUUUCGAAAACAUAUUGACUAUCAACCUUGUUUACUUGUAAUAAUAGGCAACUUGCCCAUAUCUGUCAAUACAUCAGUCUGAAGUUAGAAUUUAGUGUUUUUAAAAUGAACAUUUACUCUGACAUAACUUACCAUAAACAUAACCAAAUAUAUGUGAUUAAUUAAAUCGGUUGUUAAUGUAAUCGACAUUUUCCUUGUAAAUGUGUACAUGUUUAAAACUUUUUUUGAGAUGUAUGGUUGAAACAUGUAUAUGCUUUACACAUGCCAAUUGAUAAAGUUUAUGUAUUUAGUCGAAAAACAUCACUGCUUGCUUUAGUCAUCAAGACAACACAAAUAAUUAAUAUGGUUCAAGUGUAUUUAUAUACAUAUGUAUGUAUUAACACAUAUGUUUAGUGUUGUUAUUUUACGUUAACUUUUGACUCAAUAUUUACCCAUGCAAAAAACUUAAAUUACAUUCUUAAAUGUAUUAGGAUGAGUAUAUAUGACUU